AUUUUCCUAGGAUCCUCCCCGCAGGAUCGACGCUCCAGGUUGCCCCAACCAUCUGCGCUCGCAUCGCGCCGGAAUAUGAGCCGCCAGAUUGUCUAAUCCAAUGGCUCAUAUCGCUUCCGCCUCUCUCCCAUCUUCCUCUCGACCACUGCCUCGAUCCCCUCCGUAUCAACCGCCGCCGCCGCCGAUCCGUCGUCCUAGCGUCGCCUUCAUCCUCCUUCCUCCCCAUCCCCAAGCGCCCGCAUCCCUCUCCCCCUGCCGACGGCUGCUCCACAUCGGCGCCCAAACCCUAACCUCGCCACCAGCCGAUCUGCCACAUACGCCGCCACAAAUCGCCACUGCCACCGAUUCCUCCAGAUCAGGCACCGCCGCUAUCAUCGCCCUACCGCCGUCGUCGCCGUCCCGCUGGCCGCUGCUCGCGCCCCUCCGCUCAUCCUUUCCCCUCCCCCCACCACCGGCGAAACCCUAGAACCACGCCAGUCAGGACGGAAUCGAAUCCGAUCCCCAUCUCGCGAGUCGUGAGCAGAGCAGGGGAGGUGAGGGGCAUCGUCGUUCCAUCGCGUCGCAUCGCCCCAUUCGACGCCGCCGAGAUCGCCGUCACCCGAAUCCUGCGACGCCGCCGAGAUCGCCGUCACCCGAAUCCUGCGACGCCGCCGGACCCUUCUCACGUCAUCGUCCCCUUCCGCCGCCGCCGCGCACUGAACCAGAGGCGAGGUCUUCCCCAGCCACCGCCGGAGCUUCCCCAUCCGCCGCGGCCGGAGUCGACGUCGUCCCCAUCCGCCGCCGCUGGAGGCGAGGUCUUCCCCAUCCGUCCCCAGUCUCGGCCGGAGCCGAUGUCGUCCCCAUCCGCUGCCGCCGAAGACGAGGUCUUCCCCAUCCGCAGCCGCCGCCACAGUCCACCGCUACCCACGAGGUCGUCCCCUUCCGCCGCCGUCGCGCACUGAACCGGAGUUGUCUUCACCCUCGACGCCCCGGAGCCGGACGCCCACUGCCCACCUCCACGCCACCGGACAACCUCCAUCCCUGCCGUCCUCCUCUCCAUCGUGUGCAACUUCUUCGUUAUCUACACGCCCGAGGAGAGAUGACUCCUACCGCGGAGGUUGAUGCACACCCGCCUUCUUUCUGUUGUGCCAGUAUUCUCAUCGAUGAAUGAUUUUACCACACAACAGCAAAGCUGUUGCCAUCUGCCGGCAUUAUCUCAGGUUUGCUUUUCCGCAUCCUUCUCUCCUUAUCAAUUUCUUUAUGUGCCCCUUGUCAGAUUGCAUUUACUUUCUCCUUCUCCUUUCUGCUAUCAAAUAGGAUCAAUGAAUUGUUCCGUGAAUGCUGAUCAUAUUAUGAGAAUUUUCCCCUAGCUAAAAAUAAAUUAAUGGAAUCUGUAGCAAUAUGCUAUAUGUUAAUCUUGAAUUUGUGAUAAUGUCAACAUUCAACCUUUCGACUAUGACCCUAUGUCACACUGAUUCAUUGUCUUAUCCGUUGAUUUCCAAAUUUGCUUGAUCGAUACAUGUUAGAAUGCAAUUCCAAUAGAUAUGAAAAUAACAAAAUUGAUAAAAUGUUUGAUUAUGCUAUGAAAAUUAUAUAAAA